rnacentral:rRNA from 1 species
UACAGGGGGUGCAAACGUUGCUCGGAAUCAUUGGGCGUAAAGCGCACGUAGGCGGUUCGUUAUGUCGGAUGUGAAAGCCCUUGGCUUAACCGAGGAAGUGCAUCCGAAACUGGCGAGCUAGAGUACUAAAGAGGAUCGCGGAAUUCCCGGUGUAGCGGUGAAAUGCGUAGAUAUCUGGAGGAACACCGGUGGCGAAGGCGGCAUCCUGGACCAACACUGACGCUGAUGAGCGAAAGCCAGGGGAGCAAACGGG